rnacentral:lncRNA from 1 species
AAUUGACAUUGGCCUUCCAGCUCUGUCCCAACCUGCUUCCAGGAACCAAAUUACUGUCUCAGCACAAAAGAGGGCUGAAAUUUAGUAAGCGGUAAGCAGUGCCAACUCUGCAGCUGGCAUCCUGUGUAGGGUUGGCAUAUUUGUUCAAGCCUUUUACUUUCCUGGUCUCUUUAGACUCUAGCUUUUCCCCUUGGUCUGCACUGUUUCAUGAGUCAUUCCUGUCUUGAACUGUGUAGAGUGUGGUUGGAGACUGGAGGGAGAGAGUGUUGGUGUCAUCCAGGCUAUUUGGUGUCUGCUAAGAACACAACUUUGGAACCUUAUUACUUUGGGGCGAGGACCAGCCCGCUAGACCCAGAGUCCCUGCAGGAUCUGAAGUCCUCAGUGGUGGCCACACUGAUUUUGCUCCCAGGCAGACACAAACAAGCAAACUUCUUUCUGGCUUCCCUGUUCAUCUCUGGAGGAAGUCAAGAAACCUGGGGGACAUUGAAUGGGACCAAGCACCCCCAUGAUUAUCAGGAAGUGGACAGUGCAUGUGUGUGACGGUCAGAAGAGUCAUUUCACUAUUUGAGUCUUCUCUUUCUCACCUGUAUGAAGAGGCUGUAAUCGCAGCCCUUUCUCUCUCAUAUACUUGUUGUGAGGAUUAAAUGAGGUCAUGUUUGGGAAAUUGAAAACAGCUAACAGCUAAUGUUCCUUGGGUAUAUCCCAGAUACCUUUAUAGUCUCCAUUUUAUAAAUAAAGGACCCAGAGACUGGGGAAGUUAAGUGCUUUGCUAAAUGUCACAGAGUAAAUAAGUGAGUUCAGUUCAGUCGCUCAGUCGUGUCUGAGAGCCUGGUAUUUGUCAUGUGUCUGACCCCAGAGUCUAAGCUUUUCAUCACCGUAUCAUAUACUGUUUCAGACUUGAGCUGUGUGACAUCGGACAAGUGACUUCCCUCUCUGGUCUUCUGCGGUACCAUCUGAAAAUGAGAGACUUGGCAUGGAUUAAUGCUAAGGUCCCUUUCAGCUCCAAAUUCCUGGUUGUAUUUUAAUAAAGGAUACUUACACCCACCGCCUGAUAGCACUUCCUUCCUCCAAGUUUGGUCUUCUUUGAACAUGGGAUGACUUGACCAUUUGCAGCCUCUAGCUGAGAGAGCAUGCUGGAGGAGCAGGCAGAUUGUCACGCACAUCUAAAUAGCAGAGCCGAGCCUGCCUAAGUGGGAAAUGGAUGUUGUAAUACAAAGGCAGUUACCCGGGUCCUUGGAGGUUUCAGCAGGAU